GGUGCUCCUGGGUGCGCGGGGCUGCUACUGGCGGGGCCGGACUGAGGGGGCUGCGGGCUCUCAUCUUGCCCUUCGGCUUCUCUCUAAGCUCACGCGCCUCUCUCAUCCUGCAUGAAAUUCCAGUGGGAGAAAAUGGAUUGUCUCAGUUUGCUUCUUGUAUUUUUCUUCUCAGUGGUGGCUGUGAGCAGAGCUCAGGUGCAGCAGGAGCCGUCGGCAGAGACCAGAGAGGGCACCGGCAUCAGCAUCACCUGCUCACACCCCAACAUACAGUCCAGCGAGAUCAUCUACUGGUACCGUCUGCUCCCGGGCCGAGGCCCCGCAUACCUCGUCAACGCCGUUAAAGGCUCCAAGGAGGUGGCGGACCCGGUGGGGCGGCUGUCGGUGUCGGAAGACCGCCGCUCCAGCACCCUGUGGCUCGCCUGGCCCCGGCUCUGGGACUCGGCGGUGUAUUACUGCGCGUUGGUAGCACGGGGAGAGGAGCCGGGGCUGCGGCCGGACACGAACCUCUUUGGGCGUGGCAGGGGCACAGUGCCGUCCGUGCCCGCAGGGGGCGCUGCCUGCAGGGCUGACAAACUCCAACCUGACCAGAGUGCACCUCCCUGAGUUCUCGAGGGAAAAUAGCAGGGCACCUAUAGCAGGCAUUGACUUAGGCUGGUGUGAGUCAGAUAGUUAUGUCUCAAGUGUGUAGGACAGCACAACUGACAGCAUGAGCUGUGUUUGACAGCAGAGGGACAUCCGCACAGUUUUAUUCCACCUUCUAUCCUCAUAUUCUUCUCAAGUGUCACACUGAUGAGAGCAGGUGGAGCUCUGUUCCUGGAAGCCUGCAGGGUGGUUUGCCUCCGUGGCUUCCCGCACACUCCUUGUUUUUCCUGUGAGCACAGCAGUGGCUGUGUUCUCUCUUUGCUGAAUGUGUGGGGGUUGCUGUUGGAAGAAAGACUGCAAGGCAAAGGUCAAUAGCUACAUCUAGUGCCCAAGAGAGGAGCCUUUUCAGUGUGUCACAGACUCCCACUCUUCUGGGAACUGAGACUGGUUUUCUUAAACACUCGUAUUACACCCACAAAGAACAAAGCAUGGGCUGCUCCAUGGGCAGCUCUGGGGGCCAUACGUGGUGGAAAUCAUAGAAUCAUAGAAUUGUUCAGUUGGAAAAAAAACAUUUUGUUGGCAUUUUGUUGGAGAAGGCAAGGUAGCCUCUUCCUGUGUGUCUUUGCAUAACAAGCCAAAGAUAUUUGGCUGCUCUUGGAACAACAGCUGAAAAAUUGUGUCAUGUUGUGAGAUCCUGAGGGACUUCGUUUGCGACAAUGUCCAGCAUCUUUACUGAGGGGACACAGUAGGCCCAAGAGGUGAUUUGGCACUCCUUGGCAGCUGAGGAUGCUGCCAGCAGCAGUGGAGGUGGAGGAUCCCAGAACAGUAUUCUGGGGGAAGAAAUGGAGUAUUGUUUCAGGCAGGAUCAACACCAUGGUAGAGAGCUUGAUACCAGUGGUGGAGUUCUGGUACUGUCUGACACAGGUUUCAUUUGAGCUGCUGUUCAGAGUUUUGGGGCUGCAGGUUUGCCAUGGCAGGCAGUGGUCUCAGCAUGACAGUUCUUGAUGUCAGAGAUGCAGUUAGGAGAGCAGAUCUUGAGGAAGUGGGAGAUGGGUGAGGAGCAGUUGGGCACCACACCAUGAGGGAACUGAGGCACAUGUACUGGCAGGACCCAGAAAGUGCCACUGGUCCUAUAUAGCUACCACUAAGACCCUGGCACAGGCCCAGACUCUCUUCAUGCCAGAUCUCCCAAUUUUCUUCAUCUGAGACAAGCAGCCUCAAGAUUUAGUGUGGAACAAAGCUGAUAGCAGUUGAGAGGUCCAUUGAACUGAGUUGUCCAUUGAGCUGAGAACUCCUCAUGGAGAAUGAGGGCUGAAAGUUGGGGCUUCACACUCACCAUAUUCCCAACAAGAAUGUGGUAAGAAUAGUGGAUGAGAGAGAAAGGAACUGGUUACCUUUUACAGUGGGCCUGAUUUGCUUCAUAUAAAGAGGCAUCCUUUGUGGCUCUGAUUAUUUUCUGAAAAGCUCCUCUUGAAUAUAUAGCAUUGUAGCUAACUAUAGGGGCUGUUGUCAUACUUUCAAGUGUGACGGGAAAAGGGAGUUCCUUUCUCCCUACUUUCAGGGAGAA